GGGGUGUGCCUGGUUUAUAUUCAAUAAAUACACUUACACUGAAUGAUGAAACAGUUUAUAUAUAAACUUCAGAAAUUCAGUGAAAACACUUUCUUCAAGAGCUUAUUCUUAUCAGAUAGAAAGGAAUGGCUUCUAGUGAGACAAGAGUAGGUAAGGUUUGAAAAGUCACAUUUUAUAAAAGACAAAAACUUGUGCCAGUCCCCUAGACAUGUUAGAGUAUGUCUUAUGUAGUUUCACUACCAGAAACGUCAGACAAAACCUUAAUAUGUAUCCCUGAGCAAUGAAUAAAUGUAUAAAAUGUUCUAC
rnacentral:lncRNA from 1 species